rnacentral:rRNA from 1 species
UACGUAGGGGGCAAGCGUUGUCCGGAUUUAUUGGGCGUAAAGAGCGUGUAGGCGGCUUUACAGGUCCGUUGUGAAAACUCGAGGCUCAACCUCGAGACGCCGGUGGAAACCGUAAAGCUAGAGUCCGGAAGAGGAGAGUGGAAUCCUGGUGUAGCGGUGAAAUGCGCAGAUAAUCAGGAAGAACACCCGUGGCGAAGGCGGCUCUCUGGGACGGUACUGACG